rnacentral:piRNA from 1 species
UCAGACAGGAUGUUUCUAAUGGGCAC